GGGGUUGUGGCUCAGGGGUAAAGUGCUCGCCUACCAUGCGUGGGGUGCUGGGUUCGAUCCUCAGCACCACA
rnacentral:tRNA from 1 species